GAUGAACGCUGGCGGCGUGCUUAACACAUGCAAGUCGAACGAUGAAGCCCAGCUUGCUGGGUGGAUUAGUGGCGAACGGGUGAGUAACACGUGAGUAACCUGCCCUUGACUCUGGGAUAAGCCUGGGCAACUGGGUCUAAUACUGGAUAUGACUUCUCAUCGCAUGGUGGGGGGUGGAAAGAUUUAUUGGUCUUGGAUGGACUCGCGGCCUAUCAGCUUGUUGGUGAGGUAAUGGCUCACCAAGGCGACGACGGGUAGCCGGCCUGAGAGGGUGACCGGCCACACUGGGACUGAGACACGGCCCAGACUCCUACGGGAGGCAGCAGUGGGGAAUAGUGCACAAUGGGCGCAAGCCUGAUGCAGCGACGCCGCGUGAGGGAUGACGGCCUUCGGGUUGUAAACCUCUUUCAGUAGGGAAGAAGCGAGAGUGACGGUACCUGCAGAAGAAGCGCCGGCUAAAUACGUG
rnacentral:rRNA from 1 species